CUGAGAGCUGCAGCACUGCAACCCUGGAUAAAUUUCUGUUCCUGAGAUUUCUAGAAGCAGCUGCUGAAGGUUUCUCCUUCUCAGGGGAGUGCAAAGAGGUGGAUGAGUGCUUGAAGCCAUCAUUGCCAUCACAUCUUCAAGGCAUUGUCUCACCUCUGAGAUGCUGCUGGAGUCAGUCACUGAAAUUGGUUUGUGUCUAUUCCUUGGGAUGAUCUCAUUUAUGGGCUGCCAGCAGAGUAAAGGACCAAGAUUUGCCUACUGUGCCUAUAGGAAUUGGUACCCCAGAGAGAGCGAAUCACCUGCUUUUAAGGGACAGCUUCUUUUUACUCUUCUCCUUAGGAAUCUCUGCUGCUGGGAGAUACCUGCAUCCUUAGAGCUGUAGAGUAAACGGAUACCUUAGCACGGACACCUGAGGUGCUCCAAAGUUGCAAUGUUAUUUUCUGAACUUGUUAUUAUUGUGGAGGAAUAAAUAUGGAUGUGUCUUUCUUGCUGUACAAGAGAAAACACUGCAUGCAUUUCAUCAUUGCCUCCUGAGGAGCUUGUCUCAGCACAUGCACAUUCAGAGCAUGUAUGAGUCACCAUCCACCUGCCAGCACAGACAGGUCACAGGGACAGCAUCAACCUAAACUCUUUGGCUUUGAUGCUAACUUUGAUAAAGGCUAUUCAACACAUUUUUUUUUUUUCAGUGGCAUAAAACUUCCAAAUAUCUGACACUUUUGCUUAGUGGUUAUAAAUAAACUUUGACAAACUU